AGACCCUGUACAAGAAAACCCACCUCCAUAAGCUCACUCCACAGUCCCCUCUCCAAUUACUUUCUGUGGAUGGCAAGGAUUUAAAAUAGUAUAAGGGUCAUUUAACUUCAUUAUCUGCUGUGAAAAAUUUAAUACAGAAAACAAGUGAUUAGCUCAGAUGAAUUCCUUGACUCUGAAACCCUCCCUCUUUGUAUCUAAAUUAUCUUCUUCUUCCUCUUCUUCUGCUGCUGCUGCUGCUUCUACUUCUCUCUGUCGCUGCACCAAUUCGUCUUCUUCUGAUAGUUCUUCCACUCACUGGCGAUGGGAUGCUGCCCUUCAAGGUGUCAUCGAAAGUGCAAUGAAACGGAUUGAUUCCUUCAUCAAUCCGCGUGGGAAAGAGGAUAAGGAGAUGGGGGAUGGAAUGGAUGCGGAGAGGGAUGGUGGGAAGGGUGAAGAAGAGUGGGAUUGGGAUC
rnacentral:misc_RNA from 1 species